rnacentral:rRNA from 1 species
GACGAACGCUGGCGGCGUGCCUAAUACAUGCAAGUCGAGCGAAGUUUUUCUGGUGCUUGCACUAGAAAAACUUAGCGGCGAACGGGUGAGUAACACGUAAAGAACCUGCCUCAUAGACUGGGACAACUAUUGGAAACGAUAGCUAAUACCGGAUAACAGUAUUUCUCGCAUGAGAGAUAUUUAAAAGUUGGUUAUGCUAACACUAUGAGAUGGCUUUGCGGUGCAUUAGCUAGUUGGUGGGGUAAAGGCCCACCAAGGCGACGAUGCAUAGCCGACCUGAGAGGGUGAUCGGCCACACUGGGACUGAGACACGGCCCAGACUCCUACGGGAGGCAGCAGUAGGGAAUCUUCCGCAAUGGGCGAAAGCCUGACGGAGCAACGCCGCGUGAGUGAAGAAGGAUUUCGGUUCGUAAAGCUCUGUUGUUAGGGAAGAAUGGAUAUGUAGUAACUAUACAUAU